rnacentral:rRNA from 1 species
UACAGAGGGUGCGAGCGUUAAUCGGAAUGACUGGGCGUAAAGGGCGCGUAGGCGGUAUGAUAAGUGAGGUGUUAAAGGCAUAGGCUUAACCUGUGUAAGCACUUUAGACUGUGAUACUAGAGAGCAGGAGAGGGAAGAGGAAUUUCCGGAGGAGUGGUGAAAUACGUAGAUUUCGGAAGGAAUACCGGAGGCGAAGGCGUCUUUCUGGCCUGCAUCUGACGCUGAGGAGCGAAGGCGUGGGUAGCAAACAGG